rnacentral:rRNA from 1 species
UACGAAGGGGGGCUAGCGUUGCUCGGAAUCACUGGGCGUAAAGCGCACGUAGGCGGAUUGCUAAGUCAGGGGUGAAAUCCUGGAGCUCAACUCCAGAACUGCCUUUGAUACUGGCGAUCUUGAGUCCGGGAGAGGUGAGUGGAACUGCGAGUGUAGAGGUGAAAUUCGUAGAUAUUCGCAAGAACACCAGUGGCGAAGGCGGCUCACUGGCCCGGUACUGACGCUGAGGUGCGAAAGCGUGGGGAGCAACAGG